rnacentral:rRNA from 1 species
GACGAACGCUGGCGGCGUGCUUAACACAUGCAAGUCGAACGGAAAGGCCCUGCUUUUGUGGGGUGCUCGAGUGGCGAACGGGUGAGUAACACGUGAGUAACCUGCCCUUGACUUUGGGAUAACUUCAGGAAACUGGGGCUAAUACCGGAUAGGAGCUACUGCUGCAUGGUGGGCGUUGGAAAGUUUCGGCGGUUGGGGAUCGACUCGCGGCUUCUCAGCCUGUUGGUGGGGUAGUGGCUUACGAAGGCUUUGACGGGUAGCCGGCCUGAGAGGGUGACCGGCCACAUUGGGACUGAGAGAGGGACCAGACUCCUACGGGAGGCAGCAGUGGGGAAUAUGACACAAUGGGCGGAGGCCUGAUGCAGCAACGCCGCGUGCGGGAUGACGGCCUUCGGGUUGUAAACCGCUUUCGCCGGUGACGAAGCGUGAGUGACGGUAAUGGGUAAAGAAGCACCGGCUAACUACGUG